AAAGGGAGACCUAAUUCCGGUAGGAGACGAAAAAAAAGUAGUCCCAACCAAGAAUCAAUCCCAAAAGGUCGGAGCGAGGCGAAAUUGGCUUUCAAACUAGGUUCUGGGUUCAAACAAGACCUGAAUCAGGAACAAGGGCUAUUAGCUCAGGUGGUUAGAGCGCACCCCUGAUAAGGGUGAGGUCCCUGGUUCGAGUCCAGGAUGGCCCACCUGCACAGGUGGCAAAAACAAGAGAAGCGAGGAAUCAGCACCUUAUCUUACUGACAUAGUAAGAGAGAAUGCUGGCUCUGAGUAAAGAGUCCAGAGGAACCUUGAAAACUGCAUAGAGCUAGGUGAAAAAGCCAAAAAAGAAGACCGCAAG
rnacentral:tRNA from 1 species